rnacentral:rRNA from 1 species
UACGGAGGGGCUAGCGUUGUUCGGAAUUACUGGGCGUAAAGCGCACGUAGGCGGCUUUGCAAGUUAGAGGUAGAAAGCCCGGGGCUCAACCCCGGAAUUGCCUUUAAAACUGCAUCGCUAGAAUUGUGGAGAGGUAAGUGGAAUUCCGAGUGUAGAGGUGAAAUGCGUAGAGAUCGGGAGGAACACCCGUGGCGAAGGCGGCUACACUGGGCCGGUCCGUGACGCUGAGACGCGAAGGCGUGGGGAGCGAACGGG